rnacentral:lncRNA from 1 species
GGAUGUGUCUGAAUCGGAGCUGGCUGCAAGACGACUUAGAAGUUGACUGUGAUGUUUGAUGAGCUGUAGUUUGAAAAUUUGAGAGUGAUAAAAUCUCACUAGUUGUUUACAAAAUGGAAUCUCAGGAUAUAUUCUUCCUUUACCUGUUGUGCAGAACAGUAACAGAAAUGCUGAGCACUGAUACGCAUUUUUCAAGAAAGAUGCAAGUCAGAUACAGAGGAAGUGUGGUUCAAAACCCCUCUGGCAGAAGAAGGAAAUGAACCAGUCUUACUUCUGCAGAUCUUCUACAACAUCUACAGAUGACCUGUAAGGGUCAUUGUUUACGUUCACAUUUGAGGUAAAAUGUGCUAGUGAUGAUCGCUGGAGAAAGAAGUUCACAGAAGAUGGACUGAGGAGAAUGAGGUGCCUGUGGUGAAAUUCUGGAUAAAAGCAAGAAAUUAACUGCCAUCCAAGCCAAAGAGGGUGAGUAACUCCAAGUCAACACCACCUUCAUUCUGAUUGAAGUAGUGAAAGAACAUCAAAAGAGCCUAUUCUAGAUGAG